CGUAGGGUGCAAGCGUUAAUCGGAAUUACUGGGCGUAAAGCGUGCGCAGGCGGUGAUGUAAGACAGAUGUGAAAUCCCCGGGCUCAACCUGGGAACUGCAUUUGUGACUGCAUCGCUGGAGUGCGGCAGAGGGGGAUGGAAUUCCGCGUGUAGCAGUGAAAUGCGUAGAUAUGCGGAGGAACACCGAUGGCGAAGGCAGUCCCCUGGGCCUGCACUGACGCUCAUGCACGAAAGCGUGGGGAGCAAACAGGAUUAGAUACCCUGGUAGUCCACGCCCUAAACGAUGUCAACUGGUUGUUGGGUCUUCACUGACUCAGUAACGAAGCUAACGCGUGAAGUUGACCGCCUGGGGAGUACGGCCGCAAGGUUG
rnacentral:rRNA from 1 species